AUGGCUCAGAUUGAACGCUAGCGGGAUGCCUUACACAUGCAAGUCGAACGGCAGCACGGACUUCGGUCUGGUGGCGAGUGGCGAACGGGUGAGUAAUGUAUCGGAACGUGCCUAGUAGCGGGGGAUAACUACGCGAAAGCGUAGCUAAUACCGCAUACGCCCUACGGGGGAAAGCAGGGGAUCGCAAGACCUUGCACUAUUAGAGCGGCCGAUAUCGGAUUAGCUAGUUGGUGGGGUAACGGCUCACCAAGGCGACGAUCCGUAGCUGGUUUGAGAGGACGACCAGCCACACUGGGACUGAGACACGGCCCAGACUCCUACGGGAGGCAGCAGUGGGGAAUUUUGGACAAUGGGGGAAACCCUGAUCCAGCCAUCCCGCGUGUGCGAUGAAGGCCUUCGGGUUGUAAAGCACUUUUGGCAGGAAAGAAACGUCAUGGGUUAAUACCCCGUGAAACUGACGGUACCUGCAGAAUAAGCACCGGCUAACUACGUGCCAGCAGCCGCGGUAAUACGUAGGGUGCAAGCGUUAAUCGGAAUUACUGGGCGUAAAGCGUGCGCAGGCGGUUCGGAAAGAAAGAUGUGAAAUCCCAGAGCUUAACUUUGGAACUGCAUUUUUAACUACCGAGCUAGAGUGUGUCAGAGGGAGGUGGAAUUCCGCGUGUAGCAGUGAAAUGCGUAGAUAUGCGGAGGAACACCGAUGGCGAAGGCAGCCUCCUGGGAUACACUACG
rnacentral:rRNA from 1 species